AGUCGAACGGAAGUCUUCGGACUUUAGUAGCGGACGGGUGAGUAACGCGUGAGAACCUACCCUUAGGACGGGGAUAACAGCUGGAAACGGCUGCUAAUACCCGAUGUGCCGAGAGGUGAAAGAUUUAUUGCCUGAGGAAGGGCUCGCGUCCGAUUAGCUAGUUGGAGUGGUAAUGGCACCCCAAGGCGACGAUCGGUAGCUGGUCUGAGAGGAUGAUCAGCCACACUGGGACUGAGACACGGCCCAGACUCCUACGGGAGGCAGCAGUGGGGAAUUUUCCGCAAUGGGCGCAAGCCUGACGGAGCAAUACCGCGUGCGGGAGGACGGCCUUUGGGUUGUAAACCGCUUUUCUCAGGGAAGAAGUUCUGACGGUACCUGAGGAAUCAGCAUCGGCUAACUCCGUGCCAGCAGCCGCGGUAAUACGGGGGAUGCAAGCGUUAUCCGGAAUUAUUGGGCGUAAAGCGUCCGCAGGUGGUUUGUCAAGUCUGCUGUUAAAGCGUGGAGCUUAACUCCAUAUCGGCGGUGGAAACUGAUGAACUAGAGGGUGGUAGGGGUCACGGGAAUCCCAGUGUAGCGGUGAAAUGCGUAGAUAUUGGGAAGAACACCAGCGGCGAAAGCGCGUGACUGGGCCAUUACUGACACUCAUGGACGAAAGCUAGGGGAGCGAAAGGGAUUAGAUACCCCUGUAGUCCUAGCCGUAAACGAUGGACACUAGGUGUUGCCCGAUCGACCCGGGCAGUGCCGUAGCUAACGCGUUAAGUGUCCCGCCUGGGGAGUACGCACGCAAGUGUGAAACUCAAAGGAAUUGACGGGGGCCCGCACAAGCGGUGGAGUAUGUGGUUUAAUUCGAUGCAACGCGAAGAACCUUACCAGGGCUUGACAUGUCGCGAAUCCCCUUGAAAGGGGGGAGUGCCUUCGGGAGCGCGAGCACAGGUGGUGCAUGGCUGUCGUCAGCUCGUGUCGUGAGAUGUUGGGUUAAGUCCCGCAACGAGCGCAACCC
rnacentral:rRNA from 1 species